CCGCUCUUUUGCAGCCGCUGCUGAGCCACGCACGAUCCUGGACCACCGCAAGCUCUCUCGUAGGCGGUUGAACACACACAGAGGGAGAGAGAGAGAGAGAGAGAAAGGGGGACGCCAUCUUAUGCAGCAACGCAAUCAGAGCUCUCGUUAGCUCCCUUGCGUUCUGAAGUGGACUGCUGAGAGACCUGUCUCCCAGCGGGGCUGUGGUGCACUACGCAGGCCGUCAACUUCACCCACGAGCUCAAGCGCAGUAAUGGACGAUCGGUACUUUCGUAAACGAAGAUUUCAAAAAGGGUGCUGCCUGUGAAGACCUGGUUAAAUAACGAAGGUUUCUACAUACAGGAUCUACCGAGAUGCAUAUAGGUGUGAAGAGCCCGAAACAUGCGGAAGAUGCACAUCCAUUUCAACCGUUGGAUAGCUCGUGAAGUUAGCAGAUAAACUGGAGAACUGUACUGUGCCGUUCACAAGAGCCAAAGUUUCAUUUGGUUUCCUUCUUAACUAAGUCAAGCACGUCUGUGUAUUCCUUGAUCGUUAAUAAAAAGUACCUAA